AUCCAGAUAACGAGUCUCAAAUAGAACGAAAUGUUCGUCCUGGAU
rnacentral:hammerhead_ribozyme from 1 species